UACAGAGGGUGCGAGCGUUGUCCGGAAUCACUGGGCGUAAAAGGCGCGUAGGUGGCGGCCCAAGUCCAUGGUGAAAGCUCGAUGCUCAACAUCGAGUCGGCCACGGAUACUGGGUUGCUCGAGCACUGUAGGGGCAGAUGGAAUUCCGGGUGUAGCGGUGGAAUGCGUAGAGAUCCGGAAGAACACCGGUGGCGAAGGCGGUCUGCUGGGCAGUUGCUGACACUGGAGGCGCGACACGUGGGGAGCAAACAGG
rnacentral:rRNA from 1 species